GCACAGAACCUUCCAGAACACGCUGCUCAAUCAUGAGCCUCUCACCCCAAGGGGGGCACCUGGGGCCAACCCCCCACUCCUUCCACAAGGCCACUCGCCUCAGGUUUAGUGUGAGCUGCUCAGAGAACCACAGCACACUCUCCACAGUUAAUGUCACUUCCCAUUUCUGCUGCUGAGAUGUCCCAAAUGGUGACAACAGGGAGCCUAUUAGAGCUUAAAAACUAGCUCUGUUCCCAGAGGACCAGUGUCCCAAAUUCAGUCACGCCAGAACAAGCAGGAGGAAGGGAAUUGUGUAUGUGUGUCCUGAAAAGUGCAUUAAAGAUGACAGAGCAGAGGAGGAGAGCUCCUGAUCACCACAACCCUCGUUGUACCCUCAAGGAAAGGUGCUCUGACCACUGCAGGAGGAAGAUAGGGGCACAUAGCCUGUGCUCCACACUCAUCCCACCCCCGACCUUCCCUGUCCUGCAGUUUAGUCAUGGAUGACCUGAAAGCAUCAAGACCUGGAUGCCUCCAUGGUGCAAGAUGCAGCCUCAGAUCACGUCACAUUUCCAGCAGCUCAUUAAAAGCACCACCUCAGCAAGGCAGCCCAGGAGGAAUAUGGAGUGUAGGGAGUGCAAGGAAAAGACAAGGAGGGGGUGAAACAAAUG
rnacentral:lncRNA from 1 species